UCUUUGUUGGUCUAGUGGUCAUGAUUUCCGCUUGUCAUUAAUCCGACAAGUCGCGGGAGACCAGGGUUCGAUUCCCUGACAGAGAG